UACAGAGGUCUCAAGCGUUGUUCGGAAUCACUGGGCGUAAAGGGUGCGUAGGUGGCGGGGCAAGUCAGGUGUGAAAUCUCGGGGCUCAACCCCGAAACUGCACUUGAUACUGCCUUGCUCGAGUACUGGAGAGGAGAUUGGAAUUUACGGUGUAGCAGUGAAAUGCGUAGAUAUCGUAAGGAAGACCAGUGGCGAAGGCGAAUCUCUGGACAGUUACUGACACUGAGGCACGAAGGCCAGGGGAGCAAACGGG
rnacentral:rRNA from 1 species